rnacentral:rRNA from 1 species
AUGGCUGCAAGAAGAAGGUCCGGAAGGUGCUCAAGCCCAGCUGCACAAGGUGAUGGUGACGGGCAGCAUGGACGCCGAGACGCUCAUCAAGAGGCUCUACAAGUCAGGCAAGCAGGCCCUGCCAUGGCAACACAUGCCUCCCAAGAAUCCCGACCCUGCGCCAGCCGAGGACGGCAGCAAGGAUGCUGCUGUGGCCGACAAGAAGCCGCAGGCCGACAGCUCCGACAAGAAGCCGGAGCAGGAGAAAGCCCGGACCCAGAGAAUAAGACUGAGACGGAGAAGGAAGCAGAAUCUGAGAAGAAGGCUAAGAAUCAGGAGGAGGCGAAACCAAGCGACGAGUCAAAGAAAGACGGCGGUGAGGCCGAGCCCGCGAGUGAACCCGCAAAGGAGGCCGGCAAUGACGAGGGCGAGGAGAAGAAGAAACAGAGCAAGCCCAAGGAUAGGUCCCUGUCCCCCAGCGCCGGCCCAUGCGCCGAGGUACAACGCGCCGCAACCGGUGAUGAGCUACAACAUGGCGCAGCCGAGAGCGAGCGUGUCCUCCUACGCGCCGCAGCUGGAGCAGGGCUACUCGCAGCAGCAGGCCGGGUACUCCUCAUCCUCCUCCUCCAUGAUACAGCAGGCCUACUCCCAGCAGGCGCAGCCAAUGCAGCAAUGGUCGCCAGCGUACCUCUACAUGCCGUACCCGCACGCGUCGCCCGAGUCCUACUACCAGGACUACUACAGCCCACCGGGGACGCACGCGCCGCCGCCGCUCCAGGACUCGUACCGCCUCUUCGACGACGAGAACCCCAACUCGUGCAGCGUCAUGUGAUCGCGGCUCCGGCCACCGGUGGGAAAAGUAGCCAAGGAGGCAGCUUCAUACUCUAA